rnacentral:lncRNA from 1 species
AAAGCCUUAAAAACCAACGCGAGUCUGUUCUGUGGUGUGACAAAGUGAGAAACCGGAGUAGCUGGGACCAGUAGGUGCCAGCAAGCAGGACACCACUGAACUUUUCUGUCCAGACUCCGGAGGUUGGAGAGGCACCCUGGGAUCAGGGUACAAGGCAGCACAGCCUCAACUUGUUUUAAUACAUUUCAGAUUGGAAACUGCAGCAGAAAGCACCUUUACCUACAGCCGCAGCCUGAAGUCUGUUGACAUCUGUGCGGGAUGAUUAACAACUUUCCUUGCUUGCUUCCACACCAGCCACUAUGAUAGUAUCUUCAGCAGCACAAGGACCUAAAUAAGGAUGCAGAUAGUACUUUGUUGGGACUUCAGAUCAGUACUAAUUCAGAAAGAUGAGCAGCAUUUAACAGGAGUGUGGACCAAAAAUACCUGGUGCUUUGCAGGAAUAUGUCUUUCCAUCCAAGAUGCUCCUUCUCAACAUUGGAUCCAGGAAGGAAAACUGCAAAACAGAGGGUCAGGACUACACAGUAAUAUCUGCUUUUCAUACAUGCCCAUUUUUUCCCUUUUCAGGAGUUGAGGCAUAUUUCCUGGG